AGGAGCCAAUAGCAUUUGGCAACAAGCGGGAGAGUGUUUCAGGAAGAGGGAACAUCAGCGGUAAAGGCUUAGAGGUGGGAAAACGACAGGUUGCUUAUAACGGCUGGGCGGACUCGAGCCAGGCGGGCGGGGGAGGGAUGAGGAGGGGAUUUGAGCUGAAGGAUCCACAGAGACCGUGAAAGUCAGGACCCGAGACUCAGUCCCAAAGGAAAGGAAGCCGCAAGGAGUUCCAGUGGAAGGACAGCCGCACGAUGAACCCACGAUCAUUUAUUCAUUCAACAAACUUUUCCUAGCUGGGUUCAAAUUCCUGCUCUGCUGGUCUACUGUGUGACUCCAGACAAGUGCCUGGCCCUCUCUGAGCCUCAACUUUGUCAGCUGUAAAACGAGCACUCUCUGACUCUCUGUCCCUCCUCUGCCUCGCUGCUUCCCCGACACCCUAGCCCGCAGCAGCUUCCUGCCGGGCCGGAGGGUCCAGGCAAUCCGGGUGGGCUUCCCGCAGGAGGGGGCUCGGGGCCGCGAGGCGACCGCGCGCGACAGGUGAGGUUCGCGCCUCUCGGGGUGCGGGGCGCGGGUGGGAAAUCGAUUUCCGCCGCUGUGUUCACACCCGCCGCCCGGCAGUCUGGGUGACUUCAUCCGGGGCCUGAGCGAGGAGGGGGGCGCCGUGACCUCAUCCCACCUCGCGGUGGGGGCGGGGGGCGCGAGGCGAACCGAGAGCGUGAAAUAGGGCUCGGCGGCCGCGCCUCCACCCCGCAGCCCCCGCCAGAGGGAAGCAUUGGCUACACGGUCCAGUGCAGUAGCCACUCAAAACAGGCUUGCCGAAUGGUAAAGGAAUUAUUCGAGAAGACGAGUAGAGAAGGUGAGGGGGAUGGGCGGGCCUCUGCCAGCCUGUAGUUUGGACUCGAGAACCGUUGGGGGGGGUCAAGAUCCAGUCCUUUUAAUUUUACUCAAUGAAUUGCCAUCAUCAGCCUAAGAGAAUUCCGGGUGGCGACAGAUGCUAGAAAGAAAAGGCAAGAAGAUGACGGGACAGAAAGCGAUCAGGUAGCUUUUUGAGCCAGGGUGGUCAGGGAGGGCUUCCCGGAGGAGGUGCCAUUUGAGCUGAGACCGGAAGGGUGAGCCAGCCCUAGACAGGUGUGGGAAAAGUGUGCCAGGCAG
rnacentral:lncRNA from 1 species